UUAAAGAGGAGUUUCACAGGAUUGCAGGAUUUCCAAAUGUGGUUGGAUGCAUUGAUGGAACACAUAUUCCCAUCAAUGCACCUUCUGAAAAUGAAGGGGACUAUGUCAACAGGAGGUCCAUCCACAGUAUUAAUGUGCAGAUCAUAUGUGAUGCUGCACAUAUUAUCACGAACGUGGAGGCCAAGUGGCCCGGCUCUGUUCAUGACUCACGAAUAUAUCGUGAGUCAACCCUAAGUAACAGGCUGCAAUGUGGAGAGAUUGAUGGCUUUCUGCUGGGAGAUAGGGGUUACCCAUGCCAGCCCACACUGAUGACCCCUUACCCAGAACCUGCAGCAGGCCCCCAGCAGCGCUUUAAUGUGGCACACUGCAGAACAAGAGCCCGGGUGGAAAUGACCAUAGGCCUGUUGAAAGCACGUUUUCAUUGCCUACGUCACCUCAGGGUAACACCUGAGAGGGCCUGUGACAUU